ACGGACUUACAUUGAAGCCUAGCGAUAUGUAAGUUAGUGGCGGACGGGUGAGUAACGCGUGGGUAACCUGCCUUGUACUGGGGGACAACAGUUGGAAACGACUGCUAAUACCGCAUAAGCGCACAGCUUCGCAUGAAGCAGUGUGAAAAACUCCGGUGGUACAAGAUGGACCCGCGUCUGAUUAGCUGGUUGGUGAGGUAACGGCCCACCAAGGCGACGAUCAGUAGCCGGCCUGAGAGGGUGAACGGCCACAUUGGGACUGAGACACGGCCCAAACUCCUACGGGAGGCAGCAGUGGGGAAUAUUGCACAAUGGGGGAAACCCUGAUGCAGCAACGCCGCGUGAGUGAAGAAGUAUUUCGGUAUGUAAAGCUCUAUCAGCAGGAAAGAAAAUGACGGUACCUGACUAAGAAGCCCCGGCUAACUACGUGCCAGCAGCCGCGGUAAUACGUAGGGGGCAAGCGUUAUCCGGAUUUACUGGGUGUAAAGGGAGCGUAGACGGUUUUGCAAGUCUGAAGUGAAAGCCCGGGGCUUAACCCCGGGACUGCUUUGGAAACUGUAGGACUAGAGUGCAGGAGAGGUAAGUGGAAUUCCUAGUGUAGCGGUGAAAUGCGUAGAUAUUAGGAGGAACACCAGUGGCGAA
rnacentral:rRNA from 1 species